CCUACGGGUGGCAGCAGUGGGGGAUAUUGCACAAUGGGGGGAACCCUGAUGCAGCGACGCCGCGUGGGCGAAGAAGCGCCUCGGCGCGUAAAGCUCUGUCCUCAAGGAAGAUAAUGACGGUACUUGAAGAAGAAGCCCCGGCUAACUACGUGCCAGCAGCCGCGGUAAUACGUAGGGGGCUAGCGUUAUCCGGAUUUACUGGGCGUAAAGGGGGCGGAGGUGGGGUUGCAAGGCAGGAGGGAAAGGCCGAGGCCCAACCCGGGGAAUGCUUUUGGAAUUGGGUGGCUGGAGUGCAGGAGGGGCGAGCGGAAUUCCUGGUGUAGCGGUGAAAUGCGUAGAUAUCAGGAGGAACACCAGUGGCGAAGGCGGCCUGCUGGACUGCAACUGACGUUGAGGCCCGAAAGCGUGGGGAGCAAACAGGAUUAGAUACCCGGGUAGUC
rnacentral:rRNA from 1 species